UUCUCUAUGGCCAAAUGGCUAAGGCGUCCGACUGUUACUCAAGUAGCAUACAUCGGAAGAUUCCAAGUUCGACCCUUGGUAGGGAAG
rnacentral:tRNA from 1 species